GAUGAACGCUGGCGGUGUGCCUAAUACAUGCAAGUCGAGCGAACAGACGAGGAGCUUACUCCUCUGACGUUAGCGGCGGACGGGUGAGUAACACGUGGAUAACCUACCUAUAAGACUGGGAUAACUUCGGGAAACCGGAGCUAAUACCGGAUAACAUGUUGAACCGCAUGGUUCAACAGUGAAAGACGGUCUUGCUGUCACUUAUAGAUGGAUCCGCGUCGCAUUAGCUAGUUGGUAAGGUAACGGCUUACCAAGGCAACGAUGCGUAGCCGACCUGAGAGGGUGAUCGGCCACACUGGAACUGAGACACGGUCCAGACUCCUACGGGAGGCAGCAGAAGGGAAUCUUCCGCAAUGGGCGAAAGCCUGACGGAGCAACGCCGCGUGAGUGAAGAAGGUCUUCGGAUCGUAAAACUCUGUUAUUAGGGAAGAACAAAUGUGUAAGUAACUAUGCACGUCUUGACGGUACCUAAUCAGAAAGCCACGGCUAACUACGUG
rnacentral:rRNA from 1 species